rnacentral:rRNA from 1 species
UGGGGAAUUUUCCGCAAUGGGCGCAAGCCUGACGGAGCAAGACCGCGUGGGGGAUGACUGCCUAAUGGUUGUAAACCCCUUUUCUCUGGGAAGAUGAUGACGGUACCAGAGGAAUCAGCCUCGGCUAACUCCGUGCCAGCAGCCGCGGUAAUACGGAGGAGGCAAGCGUUAUCCGGAAUUAUUGGGCGUAAAGCGUCCGUAGGUGGUUGUUCAAGUCUGCUGUCAAAGCGUGGGGCUCAACUCCAUAGAGGCAGUGGAAACUGUGUAACUAGAGUGCGGUAGGGGUCGAGGGAAUUCCCAGUGUAGCGGUGAAAUGCGUAGAUAUUGGGAAGAACACCAGUGGCGAAGGCGCUCUACUGGGCCGUUACUGACGCUGAGGGACGAAAGCUAGGGGAGCGAAAGGGAUUAGAUACCCCCGUAGUCC